rnacentral:rRNA from 1 species
CCUUAUUAUUUAAAAGAUGAUAAGCUGAUAGUAGCGGAAGAGGAAGGGACGGCUAACUCUGUGCCAGCAGCCGCGGUAAUACAGAGGUCCCGAGCGUUGUUCGGAUUCACUGGGCGUAAAGGGUGCGUAGGUGGUGAGGUAAGUCGGAUGUGAAAUCUCGGAGCUCAACUCCGAAAUGGCAUUGGAAACUACCUUGCUCGAGGAAUGGAGGGGGGACUGGAAUUCUCGGUGUAGCAGUGAAAUGCGUAGAUAUCGAGAGGAACACCAGUGGCGAAGGCGAGUCCCUGGACAUCUCCUGACACUGAGGCACGAAAGCUAGGGGAGCAAACAGGAUUAGAUACCCCUGUAGUCC